GUGUUAUUCAGUAAUGGAUGCCUUGGUCUGAAAAUCGAUGAGGAGUACAGCGAAAUGUGAUAUGCAUUGUGAACUGCAGACUUCCGUGAGUCAAUGGCUUGUCGAACGUUUGCUGUGCCUUUGGGAUACGCCUGAAGGCGCGCCUGCUUCAGCGUCUGU
rnacentral:rRNA from 1 species